rnacentral:rRNA from 1 species
AGUGAACGCUGGCGGUAGGCCUAACACAUGCCAGUCGAACGGCAGCACAGUAAUAGCUUGCUCUUACGGGUGGCGAGUGGCGGACGGGUGAUGAAUACAUCCCUGUCUACUUGUUCUUGGGUGAGAACGUAGGGACACUUACGCUAUUACCGCAUACGACCUACGUGUGAAAGCAGGGGAUCUUCGGCCCUUGCGCGAUUGAAUGAGCGGAUGUCGGAUUAGCUAGUUGGCGGGGUAAAGGCCCACCAAGGCGACGCUCCGUAGCUGGUCUGAUAGGAUGAUCAGCCACACUGGAACUGAGACAAGGUCCAGAAUCCUAAGGGAGGGAGCAGUGGGGAAUAUUGGAAAAUGGGCGGAAGCCUGAACCAGCCAAACCGCGUGGGUGAAGAAGGCCUUCGGGUUGUAAAGCCCUUUUGUUGGGAAAGAAAAGCAGCAGGGUAAUACCCCGCUGUUCUGACGGUAACCAAAGAAUAAGCAACGGCUAACUUCGUG